rnacentral:lncRNA from 10 species
ACACAGGAUCCGGAGCUGGUGCUGAUAACAGCGGAAUCCCCCGUCUACCUCUCUCCUUGGUCCUGGAACAGCGCUACUGAUCACCAAGUAGCCACAAAAUAUAAUAAACCCUCAGCACUUGCUCAGUAGUUUUGUGAAAGUCUCAAGUAAAAGAGACACAAACAAAAAAUUCUUUUUCGUGAAGAACUCCAAAAAUAAAAUUCUCUAGAGAUAAAAAAAAAAAAAAAAGGAAAAUGCCAG